UACAACGCACUACCUGUUCAUAGUAGUCGUUGCUGUCAACAGCACACUGCUCACCAUCAACGCAGGGGACUACAUCUUCUACACAGACUGGGCGUGGACGUCCUUCGUUGUGUUCUCUGUGUCGCAGGCAACCAUGCAUAAUGUAGAAGCAAUAUCUCACAUGUUACUGCCAGAGCUACCCGGCACAUCAACAUGUGCCGCAACUUCCCACAACUCAUCAAGAUGAAAGGCAAGGGCCACAGGCCUGUACUUUGCAUUACAAUGCCAACGCUGCGGGCGACAAGAUUUACAAAACACGCUGCCAUACUGGUUGGCGGUACGCUUGUUAGCUUAAUCUUCCCGCUUUUCAACCUGGUCAACCUGUUGCUUGUAAGGGACCCGCUCGAGGUGGCAUUCAAGUAUCCGAGACCGACUCUGCCCGCGUACAUGACGCCUAUAGAGCCUCAGGUAGGGAAGUUCUACAACUCGCCUGUCGCCCUGGGUUCAGGUGCCGGUGCAGUGCUAACGGUACCCAUCGCUGCGUUGGGUGCAAAACUAAACACGUGG
rnacentral:rRNA from 1 species